UCCUUGGUGUUGACGUGACCCCUGAAUACUGGUUUCCGGCUCCAUUACAGAGGCCACUGUUUCCUAAGGUUGGAGCACCAAGUCUGGCCAGUCAAAGACGAUGGCCACUUUUUGCCAGGUCUCUUUGGUUAAAGGGCAGUCUGUGAUGAAAUGUUCUCCAUAGAUACCUCCAAGGUCAUGUGCCCAGCAUGACUGCAUGGAGCACAGUUACCUUUCAGCAGAAAUGGUACCUACUGAUCUAAUCGUAUUUUGCAUAUUUUCAAAUUGCUAGGUUGGCAGAAGCUGGGUCUAACAGUGGGAGCUCCCCUCACUCCCUGGAUUCGAACCCCCAACCUUUCAGUUAGCAAGCUCAGGAACUCAGUGGUUUAACCCGCUACACCACCAAGAGGGCUAUAUACAUAUACAUAUAUAUAGUAUAUGUGUGUGUGUUAUAUUAUUCAAAGCAGCUUAAAGACAUGGAUAUAAGAUUAAACACAUUACAACUAUUUGUUAAAAUGCUGUGUAGCCAGCCAUAGCCUCAGGUUAUAAAUAUGAUUGAAUCCUUACACUAGUUCUCCAUUCUUUGUCUUCAGGAGGAAAGAGGGUGCAAUGUAUGACAGGUGGGACCACUGAUGUAACUUUACUUCAGUCCACAAGAAGUGCGCAUCAACAGAAACCCCUAUCUUUGUCAAACACAGAACUGGACUGUUGAGCCAAUCAAGAGCUUAUUAUCAUUUAUUUAAACAUUGUCUUCACAAAUGAUGUCCCCUCCCAGGGGACACCCCACCAGCUGUUUGGUUCCUUGGCUGGCCAACCCCAAGUUGUCAUCUCCCCAUGAUAGAGAAUCCCCACCUGAAGGAAGCAUCAGCAGCAUCUUCAGCCAUUCAGGUCUCAGAUCCAGAACAGCCCCUCUCUCAGCCAAUCAGGGAAGGGAGUGGGAAUUUUGAAUAGUUGUCAAACUUUAUAAGAUCUCUUGCAUUCUCUGUAUGUUUUACGCUUCUACACUUCGAAGCAUCUGCUUGUAUUUGCAUCCCUUUUGGCUGAACUGGAUAAACCUCUGUGUUUUGUCUUCAA